UUGCUCGCCUCGGCAGCACGUCUAGUCGAAUCAGAAUGAUACGGAGAAGGUCAGCACGGCCCCUGCGCAAGGAUGACGUGCAAAUUUGUGAAGCGUUCAUAUUGUAA
ensembl:snRNA U6 U6 spliceosomal RNA